rnacentral:misc_RNA from 1 species
GAAAUGCGAUAAUUAAUGUGAAUUGCAGAUUUCAGUGAAUCAUCGAGUCUUUGAACGCACAUUGCGCCCCCUGGUAUUCCGGGGGGCAUGCCUGUCCGAGCGUCAUUGCUGUCCUCAAGCACGGCUUGUGUGUUGGGCUUCCGUCCCUGGCAACGGGGACGGGCCCAAAAGGCAGUGGCGGCACCAUGUCUGGUCCUCGAGCGUAUGGGGCUUUGUCACCCGCUCCCGUAGGUCCAGCUGGCAGCUAGCCUCGCAACCAAUCUUUUUAACCAGGUUGACCUCGGAUCAGGUAGGGAUACCCGCUGAACUUAAGC